rnacentral:lncRNA from 1 species
AGGACAUCCCACGGUGGGAGCACGAUGGGUGACCCCACUCAUGCAGCUCACAGGGCUGAACUAGGGGCAGGGAGCUGCAGGAGGGGGAUUAUUCAACGCUCAGCUCCCAGCACUUUAGAGUGCUUUCAUCCCUGAAAGCUUCGGCGUGGAAGAAAGGAGAAUGGACCGAUCCCCCAACAGCACAGCCUUUGUUUCUGCUGCCAGUACGGACCCCGAGCAGCAAAGGAGGCUGAUCAAUAGGAACACGGUGUUUGCAUGGAUCAUACAUGCGAAGAGCACGUUCCCGGAUCAAUGCUGAGGUCUCGCAGAAGGAGAGGAAAGGAAAGGGGAAAAAAAAAAAAAGGAAAAAGAGAAGAAAA